GGAUGCCGUUGCAGCAGCCUUCAUUGGUUCCUCCGUUUUAGGAGCGGGAAAACCGAAUGCCUUUGGAACCUUCAUCGGUGCAGUCCUGAUCGGAAUCCU
rnacentral:tRNA from 1 species